rnacentral:rRNA from 1 species
AUUGAACGCUGGCGGCAGGCCUAACACAUGCAAGUCGAGCGGAUGAAGGGAGCUUGCUCCUGGAUUCAGCGGCGGACGGGUGAGUAAUGCCUAGGAAUCUGCCUGGUAGUGGGGGAUAACGUCCGGAAACGGGCGCUAAUACCGCAUACGUCCUGAGGGAGAAAGUGGGGGAUCUUCGGACCUCACGCUAUCAGAUGAGCCUAGGUCGGAUUAGCUAGUUGGUGGGGUAAAGGCCUACCAAGGCGACGAUCCGUAACUGGUCUGAGGGGCUGAUCAGUCACACUGGAACUGAGACACGGUCCAUGCUCCUACGGGAGGCAGCAGUGGGGAAUAUUGGACAAUGGGCGAAAGCCUGAUCCAGCCAUGCCGCGUGUGUGAAGAAGGUCUUCGGAUUGUAAAGCACUUUAAGUUGGGAGGAAGGGCAGUAAGUUAAUACCUUGCUGUUUUGACGUUACCAACAGAAUAAGCACCGGCUAACUUCGUG